AUACGGAAGGUCCGGGCGUUAUCCGGAUUUAUUGGGUUUAAAGGGAGCGCAGGCGGAGAUGCAAGCGUGACGUCAAAUUUCGGGGCUCAACCCCGUCUCGCGUCGCGAACUGCGUCCCUUGGUUGCGGGAAGGGGAGGCGGAACUCGUGGUGUAGCGGUGAAAUGCAUAGAUAUCACGAAGAACUCCGAUCGCGAAGGCAGCCUUCCGGCCCGUCAACGACGCUCAUGCUCGAAGGUGCGGGUAUCAAACAGGAUUAGAUACCCUGGUAGUCCGCACAGUAAACGAUGGACACCCGCGGUUUGGCCUGUAUGGCUGAGCCGCCAAGCGAAAGCGUUAAGUGUCCCACCUGGGGAGUACGCCGGCAACGGUGAAACUUAAAGGAAUUGACGGGG
rnacentral:rRNA from 1 species